GGGGAAUAUUGGACAAUGGGCGAAAGCCUGAUCCAGCCAUGCCGCGUGAGUGAUGAAGGCCCUAGGGUUGUAAAGCUCUUUUGUGCGGGAAGAUAAUGACGGUACCGCAAGAAUAAGCCCCGGCUAACUUCGUGCCAGCAGCCGCGGUAAUACGAAGGGGGCUAGCGUUGCUCGGAAUCACUGGGCGUAAAGGGUGCGUAGGCGGGUUUCUAAGUCAGAGGUGAAGGCCUGGAGCUCAACUCCAGAACUGCCUUUGAUACUGGAAGUCUUGAGUUCGGGAGAGGUGAGUGGAACUGCGAGUGUAGAGGUGAAAUUCGUAGAUAUUCGCAAGAACACCAGUGGCGAAGGCGGCUCACUGGCCCGAUACUGACGCUGAGGCACGAAAGCGUGGGGAGCAAACA
rnacentral:rRNA from 1 species